rnacentral:rRNA from 1 species
AAUAUUGCGCAAUGGGGGGAACCCUGACGCAGCGACGCCGCGUGAGCGAUGAAGGCCUUCGGGUCGUAACGCUCUGUCCUCAGGGAAGAAGAAAGUGACGGUACCUGAGAAGAAAGCCCCGGCUAACUACGUGCCAGCAGCCGCGGUAAUACGUAGGGGGCAAGCGUUGUCCGGAAUUAUUGGGCGUAAAGGGCUCGCAGGCGGUCUUCUAAGUCUGAUGUGAAAUCUCGUAGCUUAACUACGAACGGUCAUUGGAAACUGGGAGACUUGAGUACAGAAGAGGAGAGUGGAAUUCCACGUGUAGCGGUGAAAUGCGUAGAGAUGUGGAGGAACACCAGUGGCGAAGGCGACUCUCUGGUCUGUAACUGACGCUGAGGAGCGAAAGCGUGGGGAGCAAAC